GUCACACCAUGGGAGUGGGCUGCAAAAGAAGCAGGUAGUUUAACCUUCGGGAGGACGCUUGCCACUUUGUGGUUCAUGACUGGGGUGAAGUCGUAACAAGGUAGCGCUAGGGGAACCUGGCGCUGGAUCACCUCCUUACACGAUGAU
rnacentral:rRNA from 1 species